rnacentral:rRNA from 1 species
GACGAACGCUGGCGGCGUGCUUAACACAUGCAAGUAGAACGGAAAGGCCCUGCUUUUGUGGGGUGCUCGAGUGGCGAACGGGUGAGUAACACGUGAGUAACCUGCCCUUGACUUUGGGAUAACUUCAGGAAACUGGGGCUAAUACCGGAUAGCAGCUCCUGCUGCAUGGUGGGGGUUGGAAAGUUUCGGCGGCUUGGGAUGGACUCGCGGCUUAUCAGCUUGUUGGUGGGGGAGUGGCUUACCCAGGCUUUGACGGGUAGCCGUCCUGAGAGGGUGACCGGCCACAUUGGGACUGAGAAAGGGCCCAGAGUCAUACGGGAGGCAGCAGUGGAAGAUAGUGCACGAUGGGCGGAAGCCGGAUGCAGCAACGCCGCGUGGGGGAUGACUGCCUUCGGGUUGGAAACCGCUUUCGCCUGUGACGAAGAGUGAGUGACGGUAAUGUGUAAAGAAGCACCGGCUAACUACGUG